GAGGGUGACCGGCCACACUGGGACUGAGACACGGCCCAGACUCCUACGGGAGGCAGCAGUGGGGAAUAUUGGACAAUGGGCGAAAGCCUGAUCCAGCAACGCCGCGUGAGGGAUGACGGCCUUCGGGUUGUAAACCUCUUUCACCUCGNACGAAGCGCAAGUGACGGUAAGGGGAGAAGAAGGACCGGCCAACUACGUGCCAGCAGCCGCGGUAAUACGUAGGGUCCGAGCGUUGUCCGGAAUUAUUGGGCGUAAAGGGCUCGUAGGCGGUUUGUCGCGUCGGNAGUGAAAACCACGUGCUUAACCUGUGGCUUGCUUCCGAUACGGGCAGACUUGAGGUAUGCAGGGGAGAAUGGAAUUCCUGGUGUAGCGGUGAAAUGCGCAGAUAUCAGGAGGAACACCGGUGGCGAAGGCGGAUCUCUGGGCAUUACCUGACGCUGAGGAGCGAAAGUGUGGGGAGCGAACAGGAUUAGAUACCCUGGUAGUCCACACCGUAAACGUUGGGCGCUAGGUGUGGGAUCCAUUCCACGGGUUCCGUGCCGCAGCUAACGCAUUAAGCGCCCCGCCGGGGGAG
rnacentral:rRNA from 1 species